rnacentral:rRNA from 1 species
CGAGCGCAGGAAGUUAUCUGAUCCUCUUUUAGAGGUGACGAUAAUGGAAUGAGCGGCGGACGGGUGAGUAACACGUAGGCAACCUGCCUGUAAGACUGGGAUAACUCGUGGAAACGCGAGCUAAUACCGGAUAACACUUUUCAUCUCCUGAUGAGAAGUUGAAAGGCGGCUUUUGCUGUCACUUACAGAUGGGCCUGCGGCGCAUUAGCUAGUUGGUAAGGUAAUGGCUUACCAAGGCGACGAUGCGUAGCCGACCUGAGAGGGUGAUCGGCCACACUGGGACUGAGACACGGCCCAGACUCCUACGGGAGGCAGCAGUAGGGAAUCUUCCGCAAUGGACGAAAGUCUGACGGAGCAACGCCGCGUGAGUGAUGAAGGUUUUCGGAUCGUAAAACUCUGUUGUUAGGGAAGAACAAGUGCCAUAGUAACUGAUGGCACCUUGACGGUACCUAACCAGAAAGCCACGGCUAACUACGUGCCAGCAGCCGCGGUAAUACGUAGGUGGCAAGCGUUGUCCGGAAUUAUUGGGCGUAAAGCGCUCGCAGGCGGUUCUUUAAGUCUGAUGUGAAAUCUUACGGCUCAACCGUAAACGUGCAUUGGAAACUGGGGAACUUGAGUGCAGAAGAGGAGAGUGGAAUUCCACGUGUAGCGGUGAAAUGCGUAGAGAUGUGGAGGAACACCAGUGGCGAAGGCGACUCUCUGGUCUGUAACUGACGCUGAGGAGCGAAAGCGUGGGGAGCGAACAGGAUUAGAUACCCUGGUAGUCCACGCCGUAAACGAUGAGUGCUAGGUGUUAGGGGGUUUCCGCCCCUUAGUGCUGAAGUUAACGCAUUAAGCACUCCGCCUGGGGAGUACGGCCGCAAGGCUGAAACUCAAAA